AGAAAAAGGACUAUGGUUUAUACACUGCAUGAGAUGUGAUAUUAAAACUAUAGGUUAUGAAUAUAUUGAUUAUAUUUGUACUUAAAUCAAUUAUAGAAUAAUUGGUUAUAGUUAUGGUAAUUGAUGAUUAAAUUGAAAAUCGUUUUCAUUUUUACAUGAUGUGAUCAUUAAGAUUUUAAGAAAGGUACGAUCAAAAGCAUAAGCUAUACGAUAGCUUGAAAGCAUACACGAUCGUGUAAGAGUUUUCUAUACGAUAGUAACUUGACUUCUAAACCAUCAAGUACAAUGUAUAUACAAUGGACUAAAACUAUCUCCCACUUACUCGAUCGUCUAUACGAUCUACCAAAUUCUUCCUAUCCUCUACCAAAUCCUAUAGAGCCCACAACUCCUGGAUUCUUAUAUCGAGAAUACCAAGAUAGCUUGCUGGUGGUGUCUGUUUCCUGUUCGAGGGACGAGUGGGGAUUUGUUCUUGUUCGAGGAGAUUACUGAGGAGAUUACUGUUUGAGUGUAGAUUCGUUCGUGUUGGUAAACAAUCGUGCAGUGAGUUCGAGGGAACGAGAAGAACAGUUCUUCGAGAAACACAGCUAGGGAGCAUGACAGUAAUAUGAAACUCUACAACAUUCAUUAAGGAUAGAUUGAACUUCGAAAGUAAAAGCGAAACGAAUACAAGGUUCGAAAAAGAGAGAUAUUGGAAUAACGACUUACGAAUGCACCAAAAGUGUAGUUGUAUUUCAGUAGAGAUUUGCUAGUAAGGCAAUAGUCAAUGAACGGACCAACUGUUAGAAGGGAAAGUGCUUGUAUGGGAGCUGUUUUGCUUAGUAAUUCAAAGGAACCUAUUAAGUACUUCUUCUGUAAUUAACCUAUUGACUGUUUAAAUCAAUGCAAAAGAUUUGAGCUUUGUAAUUAGAGCUGUAAGAGGGAGAAGAAGUCUUUGUGAAGAAUCGAACGUGAUUGUGCUUUGUAAUGUCUGUUUCUUGAUUUUGAUCUUGAAUAAAGAUGUCAAUGGUUGUUCUCUGGAGUGAAUGUAGGAAUAAAUAAGCCAAACCACUAUAAAUCAGAUGUUUCUCUUC